rnacentral:rRNA from 1 species
AUUGAACGCUGGCGGCAGGCCUAACACAUGCAAGUCGAGCGGCAGCGGGAAAGUAGCUUGCUACUUUUGCCGGCGAGCGGCGGACGGGUGAGUAAUGCCUGGGAAAUUGCCCAGUCGAGGGGGAUAACAGUUGGAAACGACUGCUAAUACCGCAUACGCCCUACGGGGGAAAGCAGGGGACCUUCGGGCCUUGCGCGAUUGGAUAUGCCCAGGUGGGAUUAGCUUGUUGGUGAGGUAAUGGCUCACCAAGGCGACGAUCCCUAGCUGGGCUGGGAGGAUGAUCAGCCACACUGGAACUGAGACACGGUCCAGACUCCUACGGGAGGCAGCAGUGGGGAAUAUUGCACAAUGGGGGAAACCCUGAUGCAGCCAUGCCGCGUGUGUGAAGAAGGCCUUCGGGUUGUAAAGCACUUUCAGCGAGGAGGAAAGGUUGAUACCUAAUACGUAUCAGCUGUGACGUUACUCGCAGAAGAAGCACCGGCUAACUCCGUGCCAGCCGCCGCCUGUAACAC